rnacentral:rRNA from 1 species
UACGGGGGGGGCAAGCGUUGUUCGGAAUUACUGGCGUAAAGGGCUCGUCGGCGGCCAACUAAGUCGGACGUGAAAUCCCCAGGCUCAACCUGGGAACUGCGUCUGAUACUGGAUGGCUUGAAUUCGGGAGAGGGAUGCAGAAUUCCAGGUGUAGCGGUGAAAUGCGUAGAUAUCAGGAAGAACACCGGUGGCGAAAGCGCUCUGCUAGGCCGCAACUGACACUGAGGGACGAAAGCUAGGGGAGCGAAUGGG